UUUGGUGGUCACAGCACGAGCAAAACACCCGAUCCCAUUCCGAACUCGGCAGUUAAGUGCCGUUGCGCCAAUGGUACUGCGUCUCAAGACGUGGGAGAGUAGGUCGCCGCCAAAC
rfam:Maribius salinus strain DSM 26892 genome assembly, contig: Ga0069991_124